AGGGAAUAUUGGGCAAUGGAUGCAAGUCUGACCCAGCCAUGCCGCGUGCCGGAUGAAGGCCCUCAGGGUUGUAAACGGCUUUUAUUCGGGAAGAAGAGCAGGGAUGCGUCCUUGUGUGACGGUACCGAAUGAAUAAGCACCGGCUAACUCCGUGCCAGCAGCCGCGGUAAUACGGAGGGUGCGAGCGUUGUCCGGAUUUAUUGGGUUUAAAGGGUGCGUAGGUGGCUAGUUAAGUCAGUGGUGAAAUACAGCCGCUCAACGGUUGAGGUGCCAUUGAUACUGAUUAGCUUGAAAUAAUUGGAGGCUGCCGGAAUGGAUGGUGUAGCGGUGAAAUGCAUAGAUAUCAUCCAGAACACCGAUUGCGAAGGCAGGUGGCUACGAUUUAUUUGACACUGAGGCACGAAAGCAUGGGGAGCAAAC
rnacentral:rRNA from 1 species